GCGAGAGUGGUGAAAUUGGCAGACACGCUAGACUUAGGAUCUAGUGCCUUCGGCGUAAGGGUUCAAGUCCCUUCUCUCGCA
rnacentral:tRNA from 1 species